UACGGAGGAUGCAAGCGUUAUCCGGAUUUAUUGGGUUUAAAGGGUUCGUAGGCGGAAAAAUAAGUCAGUGGUGAAAGCCUGCAGCUUAACUGUAGAACUGCCAUUGAAACUAUUUUUCUUGAAUACAUAUGAAGUAGGCGGAAUGCGUCAUGUAGCGGUGAAAUGCACAGAUAUGACGCAGAACACCGAUAGCGAAGGCAGCUUACUAAUGUGUUAUUGACGCUGAUGAACGAAAGCGUGGGGAGCGAACAGG
rnacentral:rRNA from 1 species